rnacentral:rRNA from 1 species
UGCCAUCAUUUAGUUGGGCACUCUGAAAGAACUGCCAGUGAUAAGCUGGAGGAAGGUGGGGAUGACGUCAAGUCCUCAUGGCCCUUACGUGUUGGGCUACACACGUGCUACAAUGGUAUCUACAACAGGAAGCAAGACUGCGAGGUCAAGCAAAUCCUUAAAAGAUACCUCAGUUCGGAUUGCACUCUGCAACUCGAGUGCAUGAAGCUGGAAUUACUAGUAAUCGUGGAUCAGCGUGCCACGGUGAAUAGCGUUCCCGGGUCUUGUACACACCGCCCGUCACACCAUGGGAGUUGGUUCUACCUUAAGGCAAGGUUUAAACCCUUGACCCGGUAUAGUCAGCGACUGGGGUGAAGUCGUAACAGGUAACCAGGGCGAUUCCAGCACACUGCGCCGUACU